ensembl:lncRNA
CGGCGAACAAAGAAAAUGCAUUAAAAUAGUUUAAAAACGCGACCGUCUUUUCGCAAAAUUGCCACCAUUCAGAAAAUGAGAGUUAUCUAGCUAUUUUUUAAUCACCAUUCAACGGCGACUGAGCCACGAUUGCGCUUAUAAUCGUCGGUUUUCGCGUCGCGCUGUGCUGGAGAUGGAGAGAGAGAGAGGGCAGCAUGGCUGCGGUUCCACGGGCAUGAGAUCAAGCCGAGCUUCAGCACAGCGCUGCUCAACUAAAACCCUUCUGCUUAACGUACCACCAUCGACAAAAACACCGCGAUCCGCCAUAGGCCUACAAACAGGAAUCCCAUUCUAAAACAUUUGUGGCUAUCAUGCUUGGAGAAGCUUUCCUUCAUGUUCUGAACUGCACAGAAGACACCACAGAUCAUGAUAGACACGCUCGCACACACUCACCCACCCCCACGACCCGUCCCAACCCCUGCACGACAAACGCCGCUGCCAGAUCACCUCUGACACCACGAACUGUGAGAGUUGGCAGGCCUGAAGGCCUGGGAAAGCCAGGGCAGUGUCGAGCCUCUGCACCCAGCAAUGCUAUGCCCAUUCUCAGCUGUAGCGGGGAGGAUCACUUGGGCAUGACUCUGUAUUGCUCCUGGUGCUGUCCCAGCUUCUGCAAGGACUAUCCGGACCUCCGGCUUGCAGGUGAUCGGUUGGAGCACUGCAGUCCUCAUAACCCAGACCUGCUCAACCCACCGGAUGACGGGCCACUGCUGCAAUCUCAGGACCUGAGCUCUCUGGAACCCUCUCUGGAACCAGGUCAACAGGUAGAGGCUGCGACCCAGCAGGAUGUGGAAUAUCUUGUCAUGGAGAGCGUUCAGGGUCUUGGCUGGGAGAGAAGGCUCACUAACUCCAUGUUGAACGGCUAUCUGGAAGUCCAAAUGCUGGAGGUGUUUUGUCAGCACAUGCAAAACAUGGCAUGCUACGGAUCAUCACUGCUGGGCACUGAUGUCAUGCCGGCACUGGUGCCCACCAGCCUGACUGUAGCCAAAGAACAGACAGCCAGUCAUGUAGAAGAGCUGGAUUCUUCAUCCAAAAACGUUGUGCAAUAUUUAAGCACUUAUUCAGCUCCAGCAACCUCCCAUUUCAGCUCACCUGUGCUGCGUAUCUCAGAAGCUGAGUAACCAACCAACAUUUUUUUCUGUUGGGCUCCUGUCUUUUGACCAACACACAAAUAUUUAAAGUUAUCUGUGUUGUUAGAAUGUUUUGUAUGCAAUACUGAUAGCAUUUGUGGCAUGUUGAUUACUAUAAUAAAAAAUAAAAAAACAUUUGUAAAGCAAAAAUAAAAAUUUCAGUAAAUAAUUCCAAUGAAGUACAAAAGGCAAGG